rnacentral:lncRNA from 1 species
CGCCGAGCGCGGCGCCCACCCCGAUGGCAGCGGCAACGGUGCGGGUCGUGCGCGAGCGCCGGCGGCAUCUGUCUCUCGGGGCGCCGACGGCAUGGGCGGCAAGAGGGAGACAAUGAGCGUGCGGUUGAUUUCCGACUCGCUGUCGAUGGCCAAGAGAUCGCGCGCCAUGCUGAUGGUCGCUGCCGCCUCUGUUGUCGUCGCCGUCGUCGUUGCUGCCGAGGAAGAUGACGGCGAUGGCGCUGUCGCAGAUGAUGAUGACGCUGUUGUAGAUGAUUCAUGGAAAGAGGGAGCGUGUCCUAUAGUGGUCGUUGACGAUGCCGAGUCCGAGGCCCGGUCGAGGGGCGCACCGGCGACGACAAUGUCCUCGCCCGUCAGAUGGCGCAUCAUGGCAUCGAGGAUCAACUCGUGAAGCAGAGUGAGUUGUUCGCGCCGGUCGCUGAGCACAAUGACCUUGCGGCGCGCCGGCAGCGGCCGCGGAUUGACCAUGCAGUCGACGACGGCGCGUGCUACAUAGUAGUUGCGCACGGGGUCGGUGGCCAGACGCGUGAUCAUGAGUGACACAUUGGGCUGGCCGUUGCGCAUGAGGAUCUCCUCCUGGUCGCCCUUGGCGUAGCGCACCAUGCGGCACUCGACGCCGUCCCACACGCGGCGCACGUUGGCCACCAUGGGUCCAAAGGUCCAAAAGAGGGCCGGCGUGAGGCCGUCCUUGCGCCGCGGCGUCGCCGUGAGGCCCAGCGUGUAGUAGCAGCGCAGCGUGGAGCCGACCUGCGAAAAGGCCGGUGCCGCCAUGUGGUGCAUCUCGUCGGCCACCCAGAGGCCAAACCGAUCAAACACGUUGGGCUCGUAGCGACGCGCCAGCAGGGUCUGCACCAUGGCGAGCACAAUGUCGUAACCCUCGCCCACGUCAAGUCGAUCACGGUGCACGCGCCCGAUGCGUGCCGUUGGCGCAAAGCGGCGGAUCUCCUCCUCGGUCUUGUCCAUGUGGUCUUCCUGGGCGACCGUGAAGAUGGCCUUGACGCCCGUCAUGCACAUGAUGUAGAUGGCGCACACGGUCUUGCCAAAGCCGCACGGGCACUUGACCGAGGCGCCCGGCGUGCGCGUCAUGCGCGCCCUCUCUCUGGCGGCCGCCGCCGCCUUGUCCUCAUCGUCAGUUGUCGUACGAUAAGAGGCCCCCGUAGCAGGUGGUGCUUGCGUCUUUGGCGGCAGCGGUGGUCCCGCCGCUGUCGGUGGGCGUGCGGUCACGCUGGCCGCCUUGGCCGCCAGGGCUACGGCGAGCGACGCACGUACGGGCAUGGGCUGGUGCGUGGGUCGUUCCUGCAGGCGCGCUGCGGCGGCCGCAGGGUUGAUGCCAAACUGGACCAGUACGCGUCGGCACACCUCGGUCUGCUCGGGCGUGAGGGUGCCCGUAAAGGGCACGUGCGUCGCCUCGCCUGGCGUGCGAAGGUCGCCGGUCGGCGGCGGCAUGCCCCACCGGGCGAGGCCAUAGUGGCGCGGCACGGUAAAGGUGUGCUCGUCCUCGCGAUAGAGUCGCACCGUCGCGGUGCCCGUAUCGGCGUCAACGUGCUGUGUCGACAGGGCAUCAGCACCGCCUUGGCGGCGACCGCGCGCGGCACCGCGACCUCGCCCCCUACCUCUGCCGCCGCGGCCCCUUGCACCCGUUGGGCGAAACUGGUUGGGCGGCGGUUCUACAGUGAGCCACUGCCGAUGUGCGUCAAACUUGGAGUCGGGAAUGCCGACUUUGGAGACUGUAUAGUGGGCGUCAAGGAUGGCGGUGCGCGCCGCCGCGGUGGCCGGCGGAAGCAAGGGCCGUGGCUUUGGCGCCUCGGCCUGUGUCGUUGGCGGUACCGCCGUCGUCUUUGGCGGCGGCGUUGGGGACACUGUUUUCGAUGGCGCAGUUGGGAUCAUGGUCACUGUCGACGUGGUCGUCAUCUUGGGUGGCGACGCACGGGCACCCGGCAGCGAGGCCGACGGCAUCACAACGGCAGGUGUGGCCGCUGCGGCUGGACGAAACACCAGGCGUGUCUGGAUGGCGCCGGUGGCCAGCACUGGUGGUGUGCGACUUUUGGCAGGUGCCGACGCAGCGCCCGACGACAACGGCAUGGCGUCCCCCAUGUCCUCGUCGUCAACAAUAAAUUGGACGCGACGUCGCACGGCCGGACGCUGGGCGGCGUGCGCCGCGGCCGCCGGUCUCUUGAGUGGGUUGGAGGCCUGCAUGGACAACGCCAAAGGUUACGCGUGCACGGCCCCUCGUACACUUUAUGUCUGCCGUGCCCUGUGCUGGGGAGCGCUCCCUCUUGUUUUUUUCUGCCUCCAACAACAGUCCUUUUGUGUGCUGCCAAAAGGCUGGUGGCGUCGUUGCGCUCUCGACAGACGAAAAAGAGCAGCCACAAACAAUAGGAAAAAAAAACAGGAGGACGCUCGCCAUGGCGCCCCAGUUUCCGCUGCCGAGCGGCGACAUCACGGCACCGCAGCAAGGCGGGACCGCGCCAACGACCGACGUAAAAAACAUGAUCCUCAAAAAAAGAAAGAGAAAAAAACGGGCGAGGAUUGGCCCCUUUUGAGGCGCUCAAAAGAAUCUGCAGCGAGGAUUAUUGAUGCCUCUUUUUUUGUCUUGGCCUGGCGUGCCCGAUCCUUUGUGGAUCCCUCUCCACCAAAAAACACGGACAGACGGCGAGGACAAGUUUUCAAAAAAGUGCCCAUAGUCUCGCGCCUCCUUUUUUUUCUUUGGGUGCGGCCAAGAACGGGCAAUAGCCAGAUGAUCGGCCAAGACAGCCAAACUCCAUUGUCGACGUCUGUACUGUGCCGAGAUGAAUCCAUGAUUUUUAGCCCACCCCGCGUCAGCAUGGGCCUUUUGGUAUUGUUAUUGUUGUUUGUUAUUUUGUUCUAUUUUUAAAUGUCGAUUUUUUUCUUUUUCUAUUUUAUUUGAGAGGGUUGGGCGGUGCAGACGCAUUGCGAGUGUGGCCGACGCCGCGCGCCGGCGACGAUGCGGCCGCGCUGACCCAUCGGGGUCGCCUGG